rnacentral:tRNA from 1 species
CGGGAUGUGGCGCAGACUGGUAGCGCACCUGAAUGGGGUUCAGGGGGCCGCUGGUUCAAAUCCAGUCAUCCCGACCA